AACACAUGCAAGUCGAGCGGGGGAAGGUAGCUUGCUACCGGACCUAGCGGCGGACGGGUGAGUAAUGCUUAGGAAUCUGCCUAUUAGUGGGGGACAACAUCUCGAAAGGGAUGCUAAUACCGCAUACGUCCUACGGGAGAAAGCAGGGGAUCUUCGGACCUUGCGCUAAUAGAUGAGCCUAAGUCGGAUUAGCUAGUUGGUGGGGUAAAGGCCUACCAAGGCGACGAUCUGUAGCGGGUCUGAGAGGAUGAUCCGCCACACUGGGACUGAGACACGGCCCAGACUCCUACGGGAGGCAGCAGUGGGGAAUAUUGGACAAUGGGGGGAACCCUGAUCCAGCCAUGCCGCGUGUGUGAAGAAGGCCUUAUGGUUGUAAAGCACUUUAAGCGAGGAGGAGGCUACUUUAGUUAAUACCUAGAGAUAGUGGACGUUACUCGCAGAAUAAGCACCGGCUAACUCUGUGCCAGCAGCCGCGGUAAUACAGAGGGUGCGAGCGUUAAUCGGAUUUACUGGGCGUAAAGCGUGCGUAGGCGGCUUAUUAAGUCGGAUGUGAAAUCCCCGAGCUUAACUUGGGAAUUGCAUUCGAUACUGGUGAGCUAGAGUAUGGGAGAGGAUGGUAGAAUUCCAGGUGUAGCGGUGAAAUGCGUAGAGAUCUGGAGGAAUACCGAUGGCGAAGGCAGCCAUCUGGCCUAAUACUGACGCUGAGGUACGAAAGCAUGGGGAGCAAACAGGAUUAGAUACCCUGGUAGUCCAUGCCGUAAACGAUGUCUACUAGCCGUUGGGGCCUUUGAGGCUUUAGUGGCGCAGCUAACGCGAUAAGUAGACCGCCUGGGGAGUACGGUCGCAAGACUAAAAACUCAAAUGAAUUGACGGGGGCCCGCACAAGCGGUGGGAGCAUGUGGGUUUAAUUUCGAUGCAACGCGAAGAAACCUUACCUGGGCCUUGACAUACUAGAAACUUUCCAGAAGAUGGAUUG
rnacentral:rRNA from 1 species